GAGCAAAUAAAAGAUCCCUUGCUGCUAAUCGGAAAGAGUAGCCCAAGCAGUGGCGACAGCGGGUUUCCACUCAAAACUCAGUGUGGUCCUUAACCAUGUCUGACGCCAUAUAACCGUAAAUUUUUCUAUGACGCUGAAGAGACACCUCUAUAACUGGCGCCAGGUUUUCAAUGACGCUGAAGAGACACCUCUAUAACUGACGCCAGGUUUUCAAUGACGCAGAAGAGACACCUCUAUAACCGGCGCCAGGUUUUCAAUGACGCUGAAGAGACACCUCUAUAACAACUGGCGCCAGGUUUUCAAUGACGCCGAAGAAACAUCUUCAUAACUGGUGCCAGGUUUUCAAUGACGCUGAAGAGACACCUCUAUAGCAAUUGGCACAAGGUUUUCAAUGACGCUGAAGAGACAUCUCCAUAACAACUGGCGCCAGGUUUUCAAAGACGCUGAAGAGACAUCUCCAUAACAACUGGCGCCAGGUUUUCAGUGACGCUGAAGAGACAUCUCUACGUAACAGGACUAUAUUAUGAAAGCAACAACAAUUCAGCAUGAACAUGAAAACAAGUUCAUGUACUAGCGUCGGAAGUUGCUCUUCAAAAAAAAAAAAAUCCAAACAAACAAAUAAAACAAAACAAAAACACAAUUUCCUGAUUCACCGUGCCCUAAGUAGUGAUACCAUUCUACCUCUGUGAAUUUAUUUAUUUUAAUUUCCAAUACUUUGAAUAAAUAAAAUGGUGUUAGAUGGCGGAUUAUGUACGAAUAUACAUGUAUUUCGCAGACAACAAGUCUAUCAUUUCCAUCCGUAUGUUUUUUGUGCUAUGGGAAAUGCUUUAAAAGAUUUCCGAUCCACUAUUCCAUAUCCCUCCUGUGCUCUCAUGAAAAAAAGUUGAAUCGUAUAUAAGCUUAGCCUUUAAGUAUAUUGUUCAAAAUAAUUAAUCAGCUUAUUUAUUUUGGGGUGGGAGAGAACCAUUUUACAUUACCUUUGAGAAACUAGUCUUUAAAAAAAAAUUAACCACGGUGUAAGGCGCAUCUGGGUGUGAUGAAUGUGUGAAAAACAUAAUAAUUUUUAAAAUGACACCAUCAGAGAAUAAAACACAAUUUAUACAUAAUGGUAAAUAAAAUCUCAAAUGAAUGCAACAAUUCUAAUAUAAAACCAUUUGAAGCAUGAUAACAUUUACCACACGUUAACAAAACACAGAUCAGGCCCACUACAUGUAUAAAUAUUUUUUACUUAAACCUCUUUGUUCAGACAACAAUAUGGCAAGAAUAUUACGUGAAAACAGCUAUAAAUAAUACAGAAAUUAGUUUGCCAUUAAUCACUACAAACUGUGUGUUAAAAUACAUCACGAAACCGACCGAUAUGACCAUAAUUAUGUAUCUACGAAAUGGUCUUUGGUGCAGGGCAGCUUAUAUUGAGUGCAACAUCCAAUCAAAAACAAAAAAAGAAACAAAGGAAUGUUUAAUGUCAUCUAUGGCCGUUUGAAUUGAUGUCUAACAUGUAGUUGUGUGAUGCCUGGUUAAGAUAGUGAGGGACAAAACGUCCUGCCAUAGGAUACUCCAACCAAACCACAGCAAAUAAUAUUUUAUAUUCAUUUUCCAAAGCCAGGAUAUCACUAACCACAGACCUCGAUAUAUCAGUUAUGUGGGUGUCUAUACGGAUGAGAGGGGUGUAUGUGGAUCCUCCAUAGCUAUUAAUCCUACAACCCAUUGUACAUCAGGCAUUCAUUUUACCACUGAGCUACAGCAUGCCCUCUCUAAUUUGCAAACAGUAAGCUGCAAAAUAAAACAACAGAGCCUGCACUAUCUUGUGGUAACCUAGACGGUCGGUCAGGAUUCAAGUUUGGGUAGUAAUAAAUGUUUCCCAUUACAGUAGCUUAAACAGUUAGGAUAAUAAUAAAUGUUUCCCAUUACAGUAGCUUAAAUAGUUAGGAUAACAAAACAUGUUUGCUAUUACAGUAGCUUAGAUAGUUAGGAUAAUAAUAAAUGUUUGCUAUUACAGUAGCUGAAAUAAUUAGGACAAUAAUAUGUUUGUUAUUACAGUAGCUGAAAUAGUUAGGAUAAUAAAAAAUGUUUGUUGUUACAGUAGCUUAAAUAGUUAGGAUAAUAAAAAAUGUUUGCUAUUACAGUAUCUUAAAUAGUUAGGAUAAUAAAAAAAAAAUUGCUAUUACAGUAGCUUAAAUAGUUAGGAUAAUAAUAAAUGUUUGCUAUUACAGUAGCUUAAAUAGGAUAAUAAUAAAUAUUUGUCAUUACAGUAGCUUAAAUAGUUAGGAUAAUAAUAAAUGUUUCUUAUUACAGUAGCUUAAAUAGUUAGGAUAAUAAUAAAUGUUUCCCAUUACAGUAGCUUAGAUAGUAGGAUAAUAAUAAAUGUUUGCUAUUACAGUAGCUUAUCUAUAGUAGGUUUAAUUAGAGUGUUAAAUACCAAUAAGCAGUCAUAGAAACAGAAGGGGGGGGAGGUGAAUUAAACUCCUGUAAUACAAAAUUAAAAUUAAAGCAUGCUGAGAUUUAUUUUUAUUAUUAUUUUUUAAUGCAUUAAAAUAAGGAAUACAAAAUGUGAACACGUCAUUCUUUGGGAGUUAAUGGCCUUAUUUCCUCCAUACAAUAGUUACAGUAGUGAGAAUCAUUCUUAAAAAAAACCCAGUGCUGCACAUUAAUGGGGCGAGAUCAUUUUAAAUAUGACAGGAAUGUAACAAACAUGUAUGUGUGCACCAGGUAUGUGUAUAUAUGCACAUGAUAAAACUGAUACAUUCUAAUGAAUUUAAAGAAAUUAAUCCGAUUAUACACUUGUACUUUUAAAAUAUUAAAAUGCUGCUAUCCAUCUUCGGAUACAUGACAAACACCAAGUCACAACUUAACAGCACCCUGAUUCGAUCGAAUUGUAGUAACAAUAUGCACCAUUUAUUAACCAUGGGAAGAAUUUAGCUAUUAAAUAUUUAUUUCAGGACAAAGUCUUCUCAGACAGCUUUUGAAUUUACUUGUUGACAGUGAGAUACAUAUUUUAUGUCAUGCGAAUGGCUAACCAAUUACUGUGCGACAGUCUCAGAUAUCACAGACUGAAGCUUUUAAUGCUCUGUAGCAAAACACAAAGAGAAAGUAUCUCUGGGCAGCAUGAAUAUUGGAUGCAAAUGGAAACUCUGUAGGAAUACUAUCUACAAAUUACAUACUGCACAGUCACUCGGUUGUUAUGUACACAAUACAAAGUGGAUCAAAACUGUAUUGAUGGAACAGAAUUGUAAACACGGUAUAUCAAACAGAAAUAUAAUUUCAAUUGUUAAAAAAUAUAUAUAUUACUCUUCUUCUUUUUUAAUAUAUGCCAUGAAAAAUGGUCUAUAAAUUGCUAAAUAAUAGUUCAUUAUUAUGGAAUUAGAUUAUAACUGCAGACACCAUUUUACCAUCAUACUAAAUAUUAUACUUAAUUUAUAAAAAAAAAAAGAUAAAAAGACAAAUUAUUUACAGAAAGAUGCAUAAAAAUACUAGUUUAUAAAUAUAUGUACUCGGUAGUAUAGAAAGGUCUUUAAAUAAAGGGCCAUAACUCUGCUUCCAUCACACAUCAUCUUUCAAUUCAUGUUGGCUGUUAUCUCCAGUUUAUGUCACAUAUAAAUAUGUUCAGCCAUUACAAAGCACAGAAGGAAGUAAAAAAAAUUAUGUAAUUGGUUGUACAAUGUUUCAAAAAGACUUGUAUGUGAAUGUUUGUUGUUAUAUGGCACCAACAACAUCCAGUAAUUCCAUGUAAUAAAGUAAUCUGUAAAGCAUUGUUCCAAAUAAGAAAUAUCAAUAAAUUGAACAUGUAUUUUAUCGAAAUAAAGGCUUGUAAAUUUCUAAAAAUGUGAAAUAUGACACUGAGUAAUGAACUCCCAUCUUAACUACCAAUGGUACCAUUCCAUAAAUGCAUACAAACCUAUAGCCAAUUUUACAGAGCCUGUUUCAGUUACCAGUACACACAUGUACCUACACUCACUUACAAUGCUUAAACACCUGCAGGGUUUUUUUACAAAAAAAACAAGCUUUGUAAAUUUGACCCCAUAUGACUAAAAGAAACAUCACAACAUCUGUACAGAGGAGGAUAAAAUGUUUUUAUGUUAUAUAUGUACAUUUUAGUGACAGCGUAAUUUUAAUAUUAAUAAGGAUAUAUAAACACUGGAAUAAAUAUUUAACAAUUCAACAACAUAACAGAACAACAGGCUGCACAAAAUAAGCACACAAAAAAUGUAUGAAAAAAUCAGGAUGCAUCAUUUACUGAAUAUAAAUAUGUGGGUGUAUAUUUAUAUAUGAUCAUGAAAACAGUCCUUAUUUUGGCACACUUCUUAUUUCUAACAUUCUUGAGUAUAUUAUCUUUCCACAAAUGAGACACUGUGGUAUUAUUUCAUCCUUUACUGGUGUUUUCAUCGAUACCCUGGAUCCAAUUGAAGGCUAAAACUUACAUUUUCAUAAUACUCAUACAGAUAUGUACAAAGUGUCAAACACAACAUGUCAUACUCACUGUAACACUAGAAUUUCGAUGGGAAUAAUCACAAAUGAUGUUUUGUUUUGUUAACAGAUUUGUAAUUUUAAUUCUGCAUCAACUUUUUUUCACAGAUAC